rnacentral:rRNA from 1 species
UACGUAGGUGGCAAGCGUUGUCCGGAUUUACUGGGCGUAAAGCGUGUGUAGGCGGACCUUUAAGUAGAAAGUGAGAGGUAGGAGCUCAACUCCUACAUUGCUCUCUAUACUGGAGGUCUUGAGUGUCGGAGAGGAAGAUGGAACUGCACGUGUAGCGGUGAAAUGCGUUGAGAUGUGCAGGAACACCAAUGGCGAAGGCAAUCUUCUGGACGAAAACUGACGCUGAGGAGCGAAAGCGUGGGGAGCGAACAGG